rnacentral:rRNA from 1 species
CCGUGGUGGUUCUGUCCGUUCCUAUUUUCUCGAGGAUCAAAUUCCCAUUAUUGUGUCGGAUGAUGGCAAAUUGGUGUGUACUUUUCUUCUAGUAAGACGUUGUGAUACAUUAUAAAAUAUAUAAAUCUGUAUAUAGGCCCGAAUAGGAGUUUAUGCUAUAUUCGAGUAACAUGACUUUGUUGUUAUGUGAAUGCGUGUAAACUAUUUGGUGUUCUUACAGAUGUCUGAUGGUAUUUGUGACUGAAUGUUGCAUACAAUUCCAUUUGUGAAUUGAUAUCUCUUUGUGGGUAUAAUGCAUACAUUAUCAGCAACGUUUUAAAUUUAGGAUACCAUCAGGACCCGUCUUGAAACACGGACCAAGAAGUCUAACUUGUAUGCAAGUCAAUGGGAUUAUUAAAACCUAUAGGCGUAAUGAGAUUAACUUGUUAAUGGGAUUACAAAUGGUAUAUUAUCAUUUUUCCAUCCCCGGGUAUCUUAAUGUAAGUACUGCAAUUUCGGUUGUGUGUACUACAAAGAUAUACCGUGAGCAUACAAGCUGUGACCCGAAAGAUGGUGAACUAUGCCUGAUCAGGUUGAAGUCAGGGGAAACCCUGAUGGAAUACCGUAGCAAUUCUGACGUGCAAAUCGAUUGUCAGAGUUGGGUAUAGGGGCGAAAGACCAAUCGAACCAUCUAGUAGCUGGUUCCUUCCGAA